UACAGCGAUAUCACAUUGAAACACCCGUUCCCGUAUCAUCACCGAAGUUGAGCAAGGUCGAGUCUAGUCUGUACUUAGAUGGGUAACCACUUGGGGAUACCAGGUGCUGUAA